AUCAGUGAUCGUGCCAUCAAUCUAGAAAUAUUAUUUCAGGACGGCGCUUAAAUAAAAACGGUGAUGUGGUGGUUUGGUGGAACCCAGAUGCCAUUGAUAAAUAUCAAGAGAGAGCACAAUGUUUCAUCAAUCAGUUCAAUAAUUAUGCAAUAUAUGAUGAUGGAAAGGAAGUCAUUCAUUUUAAUGGAACUUUGACGAUGGGAGAGAAUUUAUCGGAUUCUGAAGGGCUGAUAAUUGCUUGGAAUGCCUACCAGACAGACCGUAAGAAAAAGGGAACUAGUAGUGCGAGGAUUCCCGGUUUGGAGAAAUUUACUGAUGAUCAACUAUUUUUCCUUGCAUAUGGAAAUACAUGGUAUAUAAAUCAGAGCCCCGCGUACCUCAAGAAAAAUGGUAACACCGAUGAACACAAUCCAAACAAGCAGAGAGUUAAUGGUCCUCUAUCCAAUAAUGAAGCUUUCGCUGCCGCUUUUAAUUGUCCAGCAAAUUCGCCUAUGAAUCCCAUGAAUAAGUGCAGCAUUUGGAAAUGAACUAAAUUUCAAUUGUAAACGAUGAAAAAGUAAUUGUUCUGAA